AUGAGAUAUGGUUUUUUAUACAUUCUAAGUAAUAAAUUUGUGGGAGAUGGCUUGAUUCAAGCAAUAGUGUAGUGUAUGUAAACAGUAGAUAUCGAUUUGGGGUUCCUGAUUUGACAGUUGUUCUAAUUUGCUAAUUUUGUUUGCAUUUCCCCCUUUUUAUAUUUUAUUAUUCUAAUACAAUAUGAUUUUUCUUAACUAGAGUUUGAUUUUUGUGCAUUUUAACUUCAAUAUCAAACAUUUCUCUUCUCAUUUUCUUGAAACCGAUCAUCUGUUUACAUUCUUAUUUAAGAUUUACUGCAUUUUUUUUGGCUUGAGUAUGCACUUCUGAGAUACUGGCAUGGCGGAUAGAACAUCAUAUUCAUAGGCUUUAGAUGGAUUCAUACGUCAUAUUGAGGUUUUGAACUUGACUUUGAAAUACUUGAAUGCAUAGGACAAGCAUUAAUGGCUAUCAAGGCUUCCUUGAGCAACAUAGCAGACGUGCUCCUUGAUUGGGAUGACGUGCACAAUGACGAUUUCUGCUCCUGGCGUGGAGUCUUCUGUGAUAAUGUCAGCCUUACUGUGCAAUCUCUGUAUAUCUGCUAUCCCUGCAACUAUUUCCUUGUUUUUAAUCUAACCAAUUAGCUUCAUUCUUGUAUUAACUGCUUGUGAUAACUGAUAAUUAUGAUCUAAUGCUUUGUGAUGUUUAUGAAGGAAUCUUUCAAGCUUGAACCUGGGUGGGGAGAUAUCACCAGCUAUUGGGGAUUUAGUAAACUUGCAAUCCAUGUAUGUAUAUUUGCUUGAUUGCUUGAUGUGGUUAAACCUUUUGCUAUUACAUUUUCAUCUCAAAUUCGCAUGUUUAUGUUUAACCUUUGAUUUGUAUGUGACAGAGACCUGCAAGGGAAUAAGCUAACUGGUCAAAUCCCAGAUGAAAUUGGAAACUGUGCUGAGCUCAUUCAUUUGUAGGAAUCUAAUUAGUUUGUUUCUAUUCUAUUAUUAAUUUUGUUAUUUAUUUGUUAAGUGUAUUUUGUUGGAGUUUUUCCUUAUGACACAUGCUUAUCAUCUUCCAUAUGCAAUUCUAGGGAUUUGUCUGAUAAUCAGUUAUAUGGUGAUGUGCCCUUCUCCAUAUCCAAGCUUAAGCAACUUGAGUUUUUGUAAGUUUGAACCGGAUUAUGUUCUCUCUGUCAUUCGAUUAUAUACUUUGAUAUGAGUUCUAAACUGAACUGGUGAAUGCAGGAAUUUAAAGAGUAAUCAGUUGACUGGUCCUAUCCCUUCAACUUUAACCCAAAUUCCGAACCUGAAGACUCUGUAAGUUCUCCUUUUGUCAUUUGUUGAAUUUGAAUUUCAUAGAGCAUAUAGCCUUCUAUGUGUCACUCAUAAAGUGUGAUGAAAAGAGUUGUUCAGCACUAGAUGAGUGACAAAUAGAACACUGCACUCUAUGACAAGAGUUGUUCAGUAUUAAGUUCUAACGAAUUCACUAACAUGUGUACAGGGAUCUUGCUAAAAAUAAGCUCACUGGAGAGAUUCCUAGACUGCUCUAUUGGAAUGAAGUCUUGCAGUACCUGUGGGUUUAAAUCUAUUAUUCGUGUAAUUUACAUAUAUUACUCGUGUUUCUUAAAAGAUUUCAUUGUGAUUCUGCAUUGAUGCAGAGGUUUGCGAGGGAACAUGUUGACUGGAACUUUGUCGCCUGAUAUCUGUCAGCUAACUGGCUUGUGGUAUUUGUGAGUAGUCCUACCCAGUCAAAGUGAUGUUGUUCCUGUUCUUACAUGUUGUCUUACUUUAUUUUUGACCUUUGUUAUUCGGUUCUAUUUUGCAUGAAUUCACAGUGACGUGAGAGGCAACAAUUUGACAGGAACUAUACCUGAAAGCAUUGGAAACUGCACAAGUUUCGAAAUCUUGUACGUUAAGUAUCUGGUUUGAUCCACAUCUGCUUGCAAAUAUUCUUGUCCAUGUUGUGACUCUAUCUUUUCUUGGAGUUUCAGGGACAUAUCUUAUAAUCAGAUUAGUGGGGAGAUUCCCUAUAACAUUGGCUUUCUGCAAGUUGCUACCUUGUGAGUAAUUGGACUCUAGUUGUUUAUUAUUGUCUUUGACUCGAGUUGUUAUUAUUCUAAUGUUAAUAUUAAAUGUUUCUGCUUUUGGAAAAUGGUAAUGAUUCCUGUUAUAUUGAGAGAAGUGUUUAAUCAGUUGUCGUUGUGUUUCCUGCGUAGGUCACUUCAAGGAAAUAGACUAACAGGGAAGAUUCCAGAAGUGAUUGGCUUAAUGCAAGCCCUCGCAAUUUUGUAAGUGUGCUAAUCAUUCAAUGAGUGUAAAGACAUAAACGACAUAUUUUUGCUUGAGAAUGCUUUUCAUUAUCAUAUUUUUGGGUUAACUGCUGAAAUGUGUAUUGUUAUAUCUUGGCAUUUUUGUAGGGAUUUGAGUGAGAAUGAAUUAGUGGGACCAAUUCCUCCGAUAUUUGGCAAUCUGUCCUUUACUGGAAAACUGUGAGUGUUACAUUAUACUGAUUUGAUCUCCUCUUAGUUAUUGCUUCUUGGCUAAUAUCUUUAUACAUCUAGGUACUUACAUGGAAACAUGCUUACCGGUCCAAUACCUCCGGAGCUUGGCAAUAUGUCCAAAUUGAGCUACCUGUAAGAUGAUCUCUAAUAUUUGUGUCAUCAUUAUCUUUAGUUUUUUCUUCAUGUAUUCACUAAGUUUAUCUUUUACAGGCAAUUGAAUGACAAUCAACUUGUGGGAAAAAUUCCUGAUGAAAUUGGGAAUCUUGAACAUCUGUUUGAAUUGUGAGCUAAUUUUUUUCUGAUGUUAUUCUAUAUUGGAUACGAGUUAAUGGCGCUAGUGGUGUUAAGUUGAAUCUUUUACUGUUGUUCAGGAAUCUUGCCAAUAAUCAUCUUGAUGGAACUAUCCCGCAUAAUAUAAGCUCCUGCACUGCCUUAAACCAGUUGUAAGAACUCAAGCACUAAUCAAUUGUUAUGUGGAGCAGUUUAGAUUAUAUUGUAGUUUGAAUAUCUUAGCAUAAACUGAUGUUCAUUUAAUUGGUUUUAUUUUGCAGUAAUGUGCAUGGGAAUCAGUUAAGCGGUUCUAUUCCGUUGAGCUUUCGCAACCUUGAGAGUUUGACUUACUUGUAUGCAAUGCUCCACAGUUAGUUAGACUUGUUUCAUUAUAUUCUGUAGUAGAUCACUUUCCUCUUUAGUGAAAUAACAGUAAACUUGUUUGGUAUUCAGGAAUCUCUCUGCUAACAACUUCAAGGGGAAUAUACCAGUUGAGUUGGGACACAUCAUUAAUCUUGACACGCUGUAAGUUUGAUGAAAACUUGUAUCUGCUCUAAAUUGCAAUAUAUUCAGAUUUCAGAGUACUAAUUUUUUGUUUUGUAUUAACUUUCAGGGACUUAUCUAGCAAUAAUUUUUCUGGGCAUGUGCCAGCAUCUGUUGGUUAUCUAGAGCAUCUUUUGACCCUGUGAGAUGAAACUUAAUGAUAAAUUGUUUUCUAUUGUAGUCCUUGGCUUUUGUGAAUAACUGACAUUCUAAAAAUGUUCAGGAACUUAAGUCAUAACCAUCUUGCUGGAACAUUGCCUGCUGAAUUAGGGAAUCUCCGAAGCAUACAAAUUAUGUAAGUUUUGGACUCCUUUGAUGAAGAUUUAAGUGUCAAAAUCAUGUUAAGUUAUCUAUCGUUUUUCUUUUGUUUGGUGUUUAAUAAUUUGUUUUUUGCUCCUAGUGACUUGUCAUUCAACAACAUGUCGGGUAGCAUUCCUGUGGAUUUUGGCCAGCUGCAAAACCUUGCGUCUCUGUACGUUUAAUUCUGAAAUUUUUAAUCAAAUUUUGGUUUGAUAAUUUCCAUGAUCUAUUUGUGUACUAGUUCACUGAUUUAUCUUUACUGGAAUUGUAUGAUAGGAUAUUGAACAACAAUGAUUUGCGUGGGAGGAUUCCUGAUCAGCUGACUAAUUGUUUCAGUCUUUCCUCUCUGUGAGUAUAGUCAUCCAUUUGCUUUCCAUCUUAUAUUUUUCUCAUGUUGCUUAUGAUUAUGAAUUAUGUCUCAUGACAUUUUUUUUUUCUUGUUUUAGAAACUUCUCUUAUAAUAACUUAUCUGGAGCUAUUCCAUCUAUGAAGAACUUCUCAAGGUUUUCAGCUGACAGGUAGUGCAGUGAGCAAUACCUUGUAAUUUCUUGGUUUUUAACGUUUAUGUAUCCGUGACUUGUUAUGUGAAAUUUUGCAGCUUCAUUGGAAAUUCUUUACUAUGUGGAGAUUGGGUCGGAUCAAUAUGUCAUCCUUAUACACCAAAAACAAGAGGUUUGACGGUGACAGCUAUUUGAAAUGUUUUUUUUUAUUUACACUGAGUUGUUUGUUUCUAUAUAUAUAAACCAUAUCUUGUCUAUUUUUCAGAGAUUUUCUGCAGAGUAGCAGUUGUAUGUCUCACUCUUGGCGUCUUACUGUUAUUGGUGAUGGUAAUUGUUGCUAUCUAUAGAUCCAGCCGAUCGAAGCAGUUGAUGAAAGGAACUGGCAGAACUGGGCAAGGCAUGUCGAACUCUAGAACUGCUAAUGCGAUAGCAAGUUUAAUUAACCCUAAAUUCUUACUUGUUAUUUGUUAUCUUGUGUUCAGGGCCCCCCAAACUUGUCAUUCUUCAUAUGGAUUUGGCUAUGCACACCUUGGAUGAUAUGAUGAGGAGCACUGAGAAUCUCAGUGAGAAAUAUAUCAUAGGUUAUGGUGCCACUAGCACUGUAUACAAGUGUGCAUUGAAAAAUUCCCGACCAAUUGCAAUCAAGCGCUUGUUGUACAACCAGCAUCAUCCACACAGUUUGAGGGAAUUUGAAACGGAACUUGAAACAAUUGGCAGCAUUAGGCAUAGGAACCUUGUCACCUUGCAUGGCUAUGCCCUUACUCCCAACGGAAAUCUCCUUUUCUAUGACUAUAUGGCAAAUGGCUCACUUUGGGAUCUUCUACAUGGUAGUUUUGCUGUAAAUUGUUUCAGUAAUGAUUGUGACAAAUAUUUAAAUGGAUGCUUUGGACAUUUUAAUUUUCUCUAUAAGUUAAAAAUGCAUGUUUGUUUAUUUCUUUACAAUGUCAAGAGUCAAGGUCGAGUUUGUAUUUUUGUGCCUAAUCUUGUCUGACACAGGUCCCUUGAAGGUAAAACUGGAUUGGGAAACGCGGCUGAGGAUUGCUGUAGGAGCUGCUGAAGGACUAGCUUAUCUCCAUCAUGACUGCAACCCUCGAAUUGUUCACAGGGAUAUAAAGUCUUCAAACAUUUUGCUGGAUGAGAACUUUGAGGCUCAUGUCUCCGAUUUCGGCACUGCCAAAUGCAUCGCUGCCACAAGAACUCAUGCAUCAACUUAUGUUCUUGGAACCAUAGGCUACAUUGAUCCUGAGUAUGCACGGACAUCUAGGCUGAAUGAAAAAUCAGAUGUAUAUAGCUUUGGCAUUGUUCUGCUAGAGCUACUUACUGGGAAGAAAGCAGUGGACAAUGAGUCUAAUUUGCAUCAAUGGGUAUGUGCAUUAUUUACAUCAAUCUCUUCGUCCUUAACCAUAUUUAUAACCUUUCUAGUCUUUAUUAUAUUUUUUUUGGUGUUGUUUCAUUCAUUUUUCGUCUGUUUAUUGCGAACUUUUCAGAUAUUGGCCAAGGCAGAUAACAACACUGUAAUGGAAGCUGUGGAUCCAGAAGUCUCCAUUACCUGCAUUGAUCUGGCUCAUGUUAAGAAGACUUUCCAGCUUGCUCUGCUCUGCACAAAAGGGAACCCUUCUGAGAGGCCUAGCAUGCAUGAAGUGGCCAGGGUACUGGUAUCACUGCUUCCUUCACCUCCAAGUAAAGCUCUCACCGCACCUGCAAAGUCGUUUGACUAUGUGCAUUUUGUGAUUGAGAAGGGUCAACAACAGAAAAUGGAAGGACUGCAACAACCUAGGCAAGAUCAAAAUACUUCCAAUGCUCAAUGGUUUGUUCGGUUUGGGGAUGUUAUAUCUAAGAGCACUCUUUGAGAAAAUGGAGUAGGAGGGCCAUAUGGAUGUGCCCCUAAAAGGCUUUAUAGCAAAAAUAGCUUGAAAGAUACUUUUGUUGUAUAUUCUAAAAGCACUUGUUACUAGGUUUUAGAAUCUGGAAUGGUUUGAGCAUAAAUAUUGCUCAUUUUGCUUUUAUGCUUGACACUGAUUUUGUAACUGAUGAUAUAUGGAUGGUGGGGGUAUGGGGUUAUUAAGAAGCACUUUCUGCUUGACUUGUGAAAUAUUUUACUCUAGCAGCUAUAUUUUGAGUAUUAUUUAGUCGAGAAACAAUUUGAAAUGAACAAGAGUUGUUAUCUAUUUGAAAGUACAUAUAGAAUUGAUUCUAAAAUCUGAAUCAAUUCUGAGAGAAGAGGACCUUAUACAAACACUAAACAAACAUCAUUGGUGCCAUUACCUUUUUCCUGUCUCAAUUUUUACAAUCCACACUGCACAUUGUCAACAAAGGAAACCCAUUAAAAGACAUUCUUCAGAGUAAAUUAGCAGAGGCUGAUCAAGGAAAGUCUUGGUACUUGGUCUUUCCUUCUUCAUCAUCCUGCCUAUAUCAGUUCCAGUUUCGGGUACUUUUUCUUAAGCAGCCCCUCAAUCACAGAGCUGCUGGUUACCAUGGAGAAGCAUCCAAAAGCUUGCUUUCUUCCAGUUUUCCGCAUGAUCUGUUGAGGCCAAAAAACAACCGUUAACUGCUUUUAUUGUAUUGAAACUAAGAAAUAGAAAGUAAUGAAAAGAGAAGUUGUGUAGUGUGUAGUACUAUUACCUUUGGUGGAUCCCACUUUCCAAUUUGAUUUGCUUUUCUUACAUAGCUUCCUCUUCUGCUCAUCAUAAUAAGCUCUCCAAGUGUUGCUGGCCUCCUUACCAUGUCACUGGGACAAUCUUCACUCCCAAAAUCUUUCCCUUUUUGUUCUAAUGCACCUAAAGAUAACACCUUUGUUGAGUUCCCAUCCCUUUCAAGGAAGCUAGACUUGGUAGGUGUACGCAAAGGAAAAAGGCACUCCAAGAUAGCAGAACCAGUUGGGCUUGACCUACCUGUUGCAUAGCUACUUGUAUCACUAUCUGUCUCUGAGGAAGCUGGUGAAGAUGGAGUUUCAAGCUGGUCACAGUCAUGUUCAGAUGAUGACUUUUCAUGCAGUGGAAUAGCAUUAGAAAUUUUUGCUGAUGAUACAAGACAAUUUGCUAGCAAAGAGGGAGCUGCAUCAAAGCUAAAUGCUUCAAGGUCCAAGUUAGUUGUUAUACUUUGACUGUCACGGCUGCUUUGUUUGUUAUUGUAAUCAUAAUCAUAGUUGGAAGCAAGGGAGUAUCCUGAAGAUGAUGCUACAUGAAAAAGUAUUGUGCUUGGUUUUGGAGGCACAUAAUCCACUGAAACAUGUGAGAAAUUAGGAAGGGGUAUUCCAGGCUUUUCUUCCCAAACAAAGGGAACUGAGGCAAUUAGUUUGAGUGGAAUUUUAGGCAAGUAGUGGUUGCAAACUGAAGAAGAUGCUUCUGGCUUCCAAUCUUUCUUGGGAAUGCCUGGCAUUAAUUCCCAUAAGAAAGGAACUGAUGGUGGUUCCCUAACAUGCUUCUUUGUUUGAUCCAUUUUUCAUUGCAUUGCUUUGGUGAGUUUGCACUAGUCCAUCUUAUAAUCAAGUUGUGAGUGUGAUUAGUAGUGGUUUACUACCAACUCUUGUUAACUGCACCAUUUUGUUCUCCUAGAGAUUAGCUGAUUAGGCAUACCUGCCCUCCAUCCCAACUUUGUUUACAAGUUUCUUACUACGUGGCAUGUAGACUUGGAAUCCAUGGAAUUAUGAAAUCACUCAUGUGGCACAAGCAUUUCAUAGGUUUUAAUUUUCUGUGUUAAAGCUUACCAAGUCCUGACUUAAUCUGGUCAGGUAUGCAAACAAAUAAAUAGUUAGUUUAUUUUCAUGCUGGUUCAUGGACUUUGAGUUAGCCUAAUAUGUCCUGAUGUCAGCAUAACAUUUUAAAAAAAUUAAGAUUUUAAAAUUUAUUUUAUUUUGACUAUACUAUUCAUAGAUAAUGUUAUUUAUUUUAAAAUAUCACACCUUAGUUUAUGUUUUUUAAAUUCAUGAAUUAGCUACAUAUUUAGUAUUUAAACCUAUGUAUACGAUCACUUGUUGACUCAGUUGAUAAUGACAAACUACUUCCCCUCAUAAGAUUGUGUUCGAAUGUUCGAUAUUCAAUGUCAAUCUGAUGUCUAUUUUAGUGGGGAUUCACAAGCACAUUUGUAAGCGACAUAUAGUUUUGGAGGUAUCUCAUGUCCCAUAGCGGUGACCGAAACUGAAACCCACUUAAACAUUUAUUCAUCUCAGUAAAUUGUAGUCAGCACAAUCAAGCGCCUAAAUCAACUAACAAAGAUUGUUUUAUAAUGAAUGACUUUUUUUUUCCGAAUGCAUAAUAAUCCUUGGGCUGGUGAUGGUGGCCUAAAUAUACAAUGUCCAAUAUCCUUUUUUUUGUCCAAAUUGUUUUUCAGACACCCCAAAAUCAGUUAUUUACACACACACACCUAUAUGAUUCAAAUAACCAAAGACACUCUUCUUCCCAUGGUCUCUCUUCAGCAAACAUCCUCUUUCCAGUGAAAUUCCGGUAACGUCUCCGCCUGUAAUCGAGCUUCCUCCAACAGUGACCGUCUUCAAUUUCUGAGGUUAGGGUUUGUUUUUAUGCUAUUUGUCUUGCGAUUUGUUUCAGUGAACCACAGUUGCAUUUCUCUGUUCAGUUUUGUUUCCAUUUUAUUAUGAUGCUUAGGGUUUAGCUAACAACCACUCAUCUAAUUCUGAACGAAAUCAAACACAUUAAUUUCACAAACAUUCAUACAUCUUAUCUAAUUCUUAGAGUUGGCACCAUGGUUUGAGUUUGUUUCUGCAGUUCUAACACCACCAAAUAUUUAAUGUACUGUGUUUGCUGUUCUUGUGAUUCAGGGUUUUCAAUUCAAUGGCCUCAAAAACCGAUGGCGAGAAUUCAACCGAUACCACUCCAUCAUUGUAAGGAAAAUUUUCUAUCUUUUUAAGCUUUUUGCUUUGUUUGCAUCAUUUUAUCACAGCUUCAUAUGUGUGUAUAUUAAGCUGGUAUUUUAUUCAUGGUAUGAAAAGAUAAGGGAGUACCAUUCAAUUCAAGGUUGUCAAUCUAGAGAGUUUACGUAAUCUCGUGGAGAGUGUAAUCUCGUAUCGUAAACUCAUAUUGUAAUCUCGUAAGAGAUCAUGCAAUUUUUUUUAAAAGAAACAGUAAUAAUGAUGAAGACGUGCUAAUAACAUUAAAAAUUAACCAAAUCAUCCAAUAAUAACAUUUAAAACCAUGCAUAAAUUACCAAAUAUCGAAAUCUAAGGUGUUCGUAAGUCAUAACUCAUAAUAAAACAUUGACACAAGAUAUGAUCAACUUAAAACAAGAACAAGUAAGCCAUCAAUUUCAAAUUUCCAAUCCUCUAAAGCGAAACAGAACCGAGACCAAUGAGCAUUGCAAAACAUAACAGAGAAAUAGGGAGAGUUGUAACUUCGCAGCAGGGAGCAGCGUCGCAAAGCCCAGGAGAAGACGAGCAGCGUUGCAGAGCAUAGAAGAAGAGGAGAAAAAGGAUCCUCAUUGGAGCUGUGCCGGAGUCUCGCUUCUUAGGUGGAGGCUUAUUCGAGAGAGAACUGAGAAGAGGGGCUGGCUGAUCGAUUCGAACUCGGAAUGGGGGAAGAGAGAAAGGAAAGUCCUAGUAGAACACCCAAAGUGCCUAGAAUGUCCCUGUGCCAAACUUUUUUUCCCAUCAAACCAUGUUUUCUGAUCUCGUGAGCUCACUCUCAAUAUCGCGAGAUCGAGCGAGAUUGCUGUAGUUCAUCUGAAAUUGAUCGAAAACGAGUUUACACUCGACAUAUCAUGAUUUGGCACCCUAAUCUUGUAACGUACGCGAUUACAAUAUAUUACUCGAGACUGACAACCAUUACUACCAUUCAAUGGUGGAAGAUAUUUUAUUUAUUGUAGAAAAGAUAAGUAAUAACCAAUAAUAUUUGUCUUGUACUAGUGUGGUGCACGUACCUUUUUUAAGGGUUUUUUGCAUACUUCAACCCAGUAAUGCAUAAUGGCUAAUGGUUGUUUUUUUUUUCAGGCCAAAGAAUAUAUACAAAGAUCCAGAUGAUGGGCGACAACGGUUUUUGCUUGAAUUGGAAUUUGUUCAAUGCCUUGCUAAUCCUACCUAUAUCCAUUGUAUGAUUUUCACUUUACCCUAUGUGCUUUGAGAGUUUCAGUUUGAUUGAGCUAUAGCUGGCUGCACCUUUGACUGUUGCAUUAUGUAUUUGAAGGUUUAACAAUUUUGUUAAGUUCAGAUCUUUCUUGUUUUUAAUUUCUUCUCUUCAUAUCUUAAGUUACCUUUUCUGUAUAAAAAAACUCUGCAUUGUCAUUUCUACAGUGAGUGUUACUUAAACAGUUUUUUAAUCAGUUUCUUAUAUUUGUUACUCUUUUGAUCAGAUUUGGCUCAGAACCGAUAUUUUGAGGAUGAAGCAUUCAUUGGAUACUUAAAGUAUCUUCAAUAUUGGCAACGCCCUGAGUAUAUCAAAUUUAUUAUGUAAGUAUCAUCUUCAAAUUGUUGGAUUAUGUAAUACAAGUCUUCUAGAGGUUAUGUCUCUUACAUUGUGUUUGGAUAAGGUAUUUUAUAAGUUCGAAGAGUUUAAAAUUCAAUGGUGUUGAAAUGCAGCAAUUCCAUAUCCAUUCUUUGAAAAGUUCUAGCUUGGAUAAUCUUUGAAAUCAUGCUUGAGAGAAUUAUCCAGGCUAGGUGUUUCAUGUAAAAUUCCAUCAUUCUGUCUUACUCUACAGGGGAAUUUACAUAUUCCACCUAUGUAGCUGUGAUUUCAAAUUAUCCCAUUAAAAUACCCGGAAAAGAUACUUUGGAAUUGUAACUUAAUAUUCAAACAAGGGAAUUUUUAUUCAGUAUUUUAAAUACCUCUAAACUGUAAUCCCCCCUUCAAACAACUUAUCCAAAAACAAAGUUAGGGAAAAAGGACUACAUGUUUUUCCACACAUGAACUUCAGCAACUAAUGUGAUGAAGAAUUUGAACUGGUUGUGGCAUCUUCUCAUUUAUUUUUCCCGUACCCCCUUCUUUUAGUGAUGUUUUCUUCAACAAUAGUUGGAUUUCCUUCUGAUUUAGUUGCAAAUUUUAAUGAAUGCUAGGUAUCCUCAUUGCCUCUAUUUUCUUGAGCGUCUUCAGAAUGCAAAUUUUCGCAGUGCAAUGGCUCAUCCUAAUAAUAAGGUAAAUAGUAUUUUUAGCCUGGUAUAAAUCAAAGCUUUCUCUUGGAUUUCAUGUGAAUUAUGCCUGACAAUGGUUACACCAUUUACUAUUCCUUUUUGAAUGGAUUUCCUUUGGUAGCAAAUUUUGCUUGUGAUUGUACGAAUAGUUGAAUUGAUUCCCUUUUACUUACGUUGAACCAUUGUUGUCAAUGGUGAUGGUGGUAUGCCAAAUAUUCGCUAUAAAACUAUGGCGGAUCGUGUUAUGGAUUAUGGCGGAAGCUAUAGUGGCAAUGGAUGUAAGAAUUAUAUUAGUAGGGGAAGAAUAGAAAUUAGUGUGAAUAAAAACAGAUGUGAAUAAGUUAUAGAACUAGUAGACAAAAGUAUGAACUGAAUUGAAUGAAUAAAUGAGGAAAAAGCAGCCAAUGGGCAUUGAAUGACACGGGGAAUUGAGAACAGCAGAACUGGCAUGGAGGAAAGUGAAGUUGAAUAACAGAAAAGGAAAGGGGGAAGCAUCAGGGAGGAGGGGGAGCAUCAGGGAGGAGGGGGAGAAAACCAACACAGAAGAUUGGGGGGGGGGGGGAUGAUGGGAACCAGAAUACAGAAAUAGAGAACAAGGUAUGAGAAUAAGAAAACACUUUGAUUAAUACUGAAAUAGAAGAAACAGAAAUGCAAUAGCUACUGCUAUGGCCCCAGAGUAAGACUCCUGUAGAAGAAGAGACUCUCUUCACUCUACUCUUAACAACCUAUUUCUCAUCAUAACCAUUCUCAUUCUAACAGAAAGCUUAUAUGGGAAUCUCACUCAGCCUUACGCACCUCACACACCCUUCCUACCCGCAAAGGCCGUAACUAACUUGUGCCAGCUCACCCUCCUAAGAUUCCCCUCUCUUAUUCUUUCUCACAUAUACUUUCCAUCCUUUGGGCCUGGUCUCAUUGGCUGUGGCCCAACCAUCACUAAGAGCUCUAUCAGGGGAGCACAGUAAGUAGAUUGAGAGAGGUAGGAAACAGAGAAUAAAGGGGGCUGAAAAAAAGAAAGGGGAAAUGAUCACCGGAGGUGUUGUAGGAAAAAAGUCCCUGGAUGUGGGAGGUCGCAUCAGAGAGAGUUGACCUAGAGAGGGGUAUCAAUGAGAAAAGUUAGUAUUUAGGGUUUCAGAUGGAUUUGAAACCCUCAAAAGGGGUCUGGUCGGCUGGAACUCUGUUUUUUUACUUCCUAAGUUCCGCCAUUGGAGCUAUGGCCACGUCUAGAAUUGGGACCGCCAUAAUCUGCCAUUGAAAGCCUUUCAUGCCUUGACGUUUAUAUGGCAGUCUGCUCAAAAUUGUCCAUGCCAUUCCGCCAUAGCGUCAUCAUGGGUGCAAUUCAACAACACUGCCUUGAACACAAUCUCUUUUUACGAGGGAAACCUACAUUCUUUUGUUGUAUUUGCGAAAUUGUUUGGUGAUAGGUAUUGAUUAAGGGUUGGCGUGAUUGUCCCCCCCCCCCCCAUAUCUAUCUCAUGUCACUAAUAGAUCAUUAGUCAAGUUUGUUGAUUAUGAGUCAUGAAGCAGGCUGUCUGGCUUGCCUUUGUUGAAAUAAAUAAUUUUGAAGAUUUUUUUUGCCUAUUUGUGUUUCAUGGAUUGUACAAACACUGUUUGUCUCUGUAUUUCAGGAGCUGGCACAUAGACAACAAUUUUAUUUCUGGAAGAACUAUAGGAACAAUCGGCUAAAACACAUUUUACCAAGAUCACUUCCUGAACCUAGUGCAACUCCUGCACUUCCUGCUCCUGCGUCAACACCAAUACAGCCACCUGUGCCUGCACUGCCACCAGCACCUGCGACCAAUGUUGCCGUGACAGCAUCAUCUGCUCAAGCUCCUUCUCCCAUGCCAUAUGGUAUACCUCCUGGCUCUGGUCUUGCUAAAAGUGACAUGAGGAAUCCUACAGUUGAUAGAAGGAGGAGAAAGUGAAUGUUUGGCAUCUACUGAUUAAAAACGAUUAAACAAUGCAAUAUGGUUGGAUCAGAUAAUCGAUUUAUGUCUUCCUUUUCAGUUGGGAGAUUGAAGUGGUGAUAAUCAAAUCUCGUUAUAUUUGUAGAAAUAUUUGUAAAACGAUUUUACAAUUGGCAAAUUAUCUAUGUGCCUAAUAUUGCUUUUGUUCGGAGUUUAAAUUUCAAUUAACAGUACAAAUUGGGAGAAGCUGUGGGUCAUAAUAUCGAUUAAAGUGAUAUGGUUCUUGUAACCACGUCGCUGCCUUAUUCUUUAGUUGAAGAUUUUGAUUGGGCAGUUCAUAUACAUGGUGUUCCUAAUGUCAAAAGUUUCGAUUUUAGAAUGAUAGAAAGGACUUUGCUAGCUUCUAAUUGCUUUUUUAUAUUCAUAAAUCAAAGAGCUAGGGACAACAAGGGUGGUGGGUUAUAGUGGAUUAGUGGUGGUGGAAUGUGGCAGUGGCAACAAUAAAGAAUGUUCUGCGGCAGGCAUUUUGAGCCAUGAGAAUGGAGGAUAUCGGGCAACUGUUGUGGUGAUGUCGUGUACCGGGUGGUGCCGAUUAGUAGUGUUCUAGAUGAAGAAAAUUGUCUGAGUGUGGUCAGGUGAAAGUGGGGAUAGAGUCCCUAAUCGUGGUGGUGGCGCGAUAGUAGGCGAAUAUGAUGGUGGAGAAAUAUUUGACGAGGGUUGGUUGUUGUGGAGUUGUGAUGGUGAAGGUCAAUGUCAAUAUGGUGGAGGUGUCGUGCAUGGGUUGCAGCGGCGGGAAUACGUUAAGUACGAUGACAAAGGUGAAAGGUAUGAAAUAACGGAGAUGGAGGUGGAUGGUGAAAAGAAAAUUGAGACAUUGAUCUUUGAUACAUUUGGAAAUAAAAAAGAUUUGGAAAAAAUGAUUAAAACUAUAACCACAACGUGUUUUUAGUUUUGAAAAUAGAGCUAAAACCUUUUUUAAAUUUGAGUUAAAAUUAUUUGAGCUUCAUUUUUUAGAAUAUCAUUUUAGCUUCAUUUCAUUUGGGCAUUUUUUUUUAUAAAAUUUACACUUCAAAAUGAAAAGCAACCUGCAAACGGGGCUUAGUUCAAUUUGUAAAAAAUUGUUUCUAUCCUCAAAUUGGCGUCUCUUUAUUGAUGUUAACUAAUUUGAGUCGCAAAUUCCAAUUGAAGCUAUUCAUAUUUUAUUUAAUAGAAUGAUUGAAGUACCUUUAAUUAAAGAAAAUAUAACUUGGAGUUUAUGAAGAGAAAGUGAGAUUGCGAGUGAGUGAAACAAAGUAUGAUGUAUAAGUUAGAUGUUCAAAUGUCAAUAUUUUAGUUUAUAUUUUCACAUUUAUAUUAAAAAUAAAUAGAUAGAAUUGACAUUGCUCUCCUAGAUGCUAUUGGUUGAAUGGUGUCGCUUCAAUAUGAGAGAAGGUGAGAGAAACUUUCCAUAUGAAAGGAUUUUGAUUCUUGAUCCACUAUCCAAAUUCCAAACAAUGAAAUAUCUUAAAUAUCUUCCCACCCAUUAUGAUUUAUUUCAUUCAUCACAUUCCUUUCUGUCAGAAAGUGUGUAUUAUAAGAUAAGACACCCAUUUGAUUCCAGUGAUAUAUGCACAUUAGCAUUGUUUUCCCAAUUUGAUUACCAGCGUACUUGUUUGAUGCAUAAUACCGGCUACAAAUUAUACUAUCUACGAAAGUAGUGAUGUUGUAAUGAGUUCUAGAUUGAAUACUGUGUUUGAAUUGUGUUGGACACACUCCAAAACGUGUUAGCUAAGAAGCUACAUUGUAGCUUAUGAACAAACAUGAUUUGAGACAUGCAACCAAACAUGCACAAUAACAGUAUAAAUUGCAGUGAUUGUGAAUGUAAGACUCAAACCAAAUCCUUGCAAAACCACAAUAUAUUGCACAAUAACAGUUUAAAUUACACUGAAUGUGAAUUUAAACAUUCAAACCAAAUCCUUAGAGCAACCACAAUAUAUUGUACUGCACAAUAACAGUAUAAACUGCAGUGAAUUUGAAUGUAAACACCCAAACCAAAUCCCUGGCACAACCACAAUAUAUUACAAAGAGCUGGCAGGCACAAUUGCACUAUAAAUGCAAGGGGAGGAACUAAAUGCCAUACUUACAAAGGGGCAACAUGUCUUUGUGCCGGUUCCGCUCAAUAGUUUUCACUUUAUUAGGGGAUUCGGCCGAAGGAUCUUUGGGAAUCGGUGUCUUAACAGGAGAAUAUAAAACUUAAGGUUUCUCCCAAUCAGAUAUACAUUAAGAUACAACAUUAAGCUGGAACAGCUUCUGGAAUUUUGCCGUUGCUCGAGACUGCUACGCUAUCGUAAUAAUCAACAAGCACCUUCCAACCGCCAGGGCACAUGAAUCCAUUAGGAGGGUUUUCUUUGUUCCUUGCAAGUGUGCGCAUC
rnacentral:lncRNA from 1 species